rnacentral:rRNA from 1 species
AGAACGAACGCUGGCGGCAGGCUUAACACAUGCAAGUCGAACGCUCGUAGCGAUACGAGAGUGGCAGACGGGUGAGUAACACGUGGGAACGUUCCCCUCGGUUCGGAAUAACUCAGGGAAACUUGAGCUAAUACCGGAUACGUCCGCGAGGAGAAAGAUUCAUCGCCGAGGGAUCGGCCCGCGUCUGAUUAGCUAGUUGGUGAGGUAACGGCUCACCAAGGCGACGAUCAGUAGCUGGUCUGAGAGGAUGACCAGCCACACUGGGACUGAGACACGGCCCAGACUCCUACGGGAGGCAGCAGUGGGGAAUCUUGGACAAUGGGCGCAAGCCUGAUCCAGCCAUGCCGCGUGAGUAAUGAAGGCCCUAGGGUUGUAAAGCUCGUUUCGGCGGGGACGAUAAUGACGGUACCCGCAGAAGAAGCCCCGGCUAACUUCGUGCCAGCAGCCGC